rnacentral:misc_RNA from 1 species
GAUGAAGAACGUAGCGAAAUGCGAUAAGUAAUGUGAAUUGCAGAAUUCAGUGAAUCAUCGAAUCUUUGAACGCACAUUGCGCCCACCAGUAUUCUGGCGGGCAUGCCUGUUCGAGCGUCAUUUCAACCCUCAAGCCCAGCUUGGUGUUGGGGAUCGGCACAGGCGCCCUCGGGCGCCAGCCGUCCCCUAAAUCUAGUGGCGGUCCCGCUGCAGCCUCCUCUGCGUAGUAGUUUUCUCCUCGCAAGGGCAGCUCGGUGGCGACCUCGCCGUAAAACCCCCAACUUCUGAAAGGUUGACCUCGAAUCAGGUAGGAAUACCCGCUGAACUUAAGCAUAUCAAUAAGCGGAGGA